rnacentral:snoRNA from 2 species
GCCUUCUCAGGAUCACAUCUGGAGAGUUUCUAGUACUCUACCAGUCUUGGCUAUGGGAGGGAGAGUCAAGCAGAGGCCUGUCCAUUCCAUUCCUAGCUUGGCCAGUGGCUAGCGAGUGGAAGGCCAUCUGCUACGAGU